GUUUUGAGCAUCUGUUUGAGCGCACCAUUAAAAUGUUUACAGAGUCCAUUCAUCUGGGGAUGGUAGGGAGAACUAAACAGGGGUUUACUCCACAACUCUGCCACAAUUGCUGGGUUACAGUUGCUGGGUCACCUUGUCAGACAAGAUCUCCAGAGGGAAACCUAGAUGGGCCGAAUGGUUCUUAUCUGUCGUCACAUUCUAUGUUUCUAUGUUUCUAUAAAC